GACAGAGGAGGCAAGCGUUGUUCGGAAUCAUUGGGCUUAAAGAGCGUGCAGGCGGCGGCGCAAGUGUCGUGUGAAAUCCCAUCGCUCAACGAUGGAACGGCUCGGCAAACUGCGUCGCUUGAGGUCGGUAGAGGUGCUCGGAACUCUAGGUGGAGCGGUGAAAUGCGUAGAUAUCUAGAGGAACGCCUGAGGCGAAAGCGGGGCACUGGGCCGAUUCUGACGCUGAUACGCGAAAGCGUGGGGAGCAAACAGG
rnacentral:rRNA from 1 species